CUGUGACGAUCAAAAUUGAUAAACAAUAGCUUAUUCAAAAUCUUUUCAAAUGAAUGCAUAUAAGUGUGCCUCAUUUUCAAAGUUAGCCACUAGCAACUGCUUCUUUGAAUUAUCAAAACAAACUGAAUAAGGAAAAUGAAGACCAUCACUUGCUGCUAAUACUUCUCUAUGGCGUUGUCCGUCAGGGGAGAUAACUACAAUAUUGUUCGACCUGGACCCCACCACAUACAUAUUACCAUCCAUAUCUACAUCAAUACCACGAGGAUACUUCAGAAGGCUUCCAUUUUUGAAUGUCCAUUGUGGUUUACCUUGUUGAUCGUACCAAGUAACGGCAUGUGUGUCCGAGUUUGUGUGAUAUAUUUGGUUCUGAAAUGUUGCAAUGAAACAAUAACUUGGCAUUUUAUCUCGGACUAUUUCAGUUAUAAACUCGUCGGAAGGAUUGAUCAUUCGUAUUCCUUUACUAUGAACCGAAUAUAUUAAUUCAUUUUCUCUAAGUGCUAUACCAUAAAUUUUCGAAUUGACUGAAAUUUUUCUCGUUAUUUGUUUUCUUUCCAAUGUUAUAAUGAUAAUACAUUGCCCAGAUGCUACGGCUAAAGUAUCUUCCUUACUUAUAUACAGCAUGUCUUGUAUGUAACAUGGCAUCUUUACCUCAAACUCUUUUAAUCCUGUAUCACUGAAUCACUGAAUAUUCUAACUGCCUCAUCAGAGAAAUAAGUAAACGCCAUUCUUCCAUCUGGUAUCAGGCAACAUCCGUAUAUGGAUGUUCCUUAAGUUGCUAUUGUCUUGUUUUUCUUCAGCUUUAUAUUUUCAAUGGAUCUUCUUUGAGCGGUAGGUACCAUUAUCUGUGCUUGUUUGGUCUUCUUCCUGCUAAGAACGAUGUCACAUGGUUUAGUUUCAAUCGUUACUUCUCCAAAACUUUCGAUAUUGGAGAUGAUAUCUUGAAUAGCAAUGUUGGUUAUAUAUUCUAGUUGACAUUGCUUCAAUUGCUCACCUUUCACUCUAGGAAUUUAUCGUUUAUAUCAAUG
rnacentral:lncRNA from 1 species